GUUCCUACCUGUGCACUUGGAAAAGUCAUUGUCUGUGCAGUUUUGUAUCAUGUUAAAUUAGUUAAACGUUUUCUUUAAUAAUUAACAUGUUAGGUAUCAAAAAGUCGUAAUAUUAAUAAAUUUAAUCGCUAACUUAACGUUAGCUAAAAUGAAGUAAGCUAGCUAGUAAAUAAAUUCGUUUUAUUUCUUUUUCAUAUUUAAAUAACACUCUCAAUACACUUGUAUUAUUUGUUUUUCACUAUUUGUUAGUGUCCUAUUUUUUUUAACCAGUAAAAUAUUUAGCUUGAAUGUAGGAAAACUUUAGGGGUCUCCCUCUUUCGUAGGCCAGUCGCCUACAAAUCCCAGAAUUCCCAGCCAAUGUUUAUUUGGACUGAGCGUCAUUCUCAAUGAGCGCUUGGCGUUUCGUGAGUCCAUCGUGUUUUGAAAUACGGCAGCCCUCUCGGUCUUUAUUCCUUUGCUUCAAAAUGAAUCACAUGUUCGGCUGAAUCUUCGUGGUGUAAGUUAACGUUACGCAGAAGAAAACGGUUAACAUGAAAUGGAGAUCACUCGGGCCAGACCGUCAUUGUAUGGAGAAAUCGCUCAUGGUCUUGGAUUCUGGACGGACCGCUCAGCAGUGCAUGAGGCCGCUGCACAGGGCAGGGCCCUCCAGCUGAAGCAGCUGAUCGAAGGAGGUGCAGCAGUUAAUAUCGUGGCAGUCGACUCCAUCACCCCCUUGCAUGAGGCGUGCAUACAGGGACAGACCCAAUGCGUCAGACUGUUGCUAGAUGCUGGUGCACAGGUGGAUGCUCGUAACAUCGAUGGCAGCACUCCGUUGUGUGAUGCCUGUGCCGCUGGUAGCCUGGAAUGUGUGAAGCUGCUGCUGGAGUAUGGAGCAACAGUUAAUCCUCCACUGUUUACCUUCUCACCUCUUCAUGAGGCUUGCAUGGGAGGUAAUUCAGAUUGUGUUCAGCUCAUGAUUGAUCAAGGAGCUUUCAUGGAGGCCCAUGACUGCCACUAUGGGACGCCGCUUCAUGUAGCCUGUGCGAGGCAACAUUAUGACUGCGCCAAAGUUCUCCUCAAUGCAGGGGCAAAUGUGAAUGCUGCCAAGCUACAUGAAACGGCCCUUCAUCAUGCAGCCAAAACAAAGAACACUGACUUGAUUGAUCUACUUGUCUUGUUUGGGGGGAACGUGUACGCCCGGGAUAACCUGAACAAAAAACCAAUCCACUACACCAGCGUCGAUUCUCCCUCUUAUCUCUGCCUUGAGUUCUAUGAGAAAAACCCCCUCAGUCUACAGCAGAUCAGCAGAGUGGCUGUGAGAGUGACUCUUGGCACCAGAGCACGUGAAGUUUCCAAGCUGAACUUGCCCAAUCGCAUCAUAAGUUUUCUUUCUUACUUGCCACCUCCAGUUAUUGACAUUGAAUCACCUAUGGAAAACAGCGUUUAGAAAGUUAAAUCUAGACCAGUUAUGUCUGCUGGCUCGAUGGUUCUCUCUCUGGGAAGUCAAGUUGGCAGAAAUGCAAUGUCGUAACACAGCCAGACUAGUCAGGUGCAGAGAAAUGUCUUAACUUUAAAUAAGCAGACUGUUCACCCAAGCAAAUUAAAAAGUGCUUUAUUUUCUUAUUAACUUAAACCUGCAUGAACAGAUUUUUUGACCAUUUUGGAACAGAAAGACAGCCUUUGUGUAUAUACCAUCAGCUUGUCAAUGUUAUGGCUAAGCUGUAAGCUAACAACUGUCUACUGAUACGGCCAGCAGAAACGGGAACAUCUCACCAAAUGAGAUGCAACCUCCCGGGGCUGAAAAAAGAAGCCAACACGGAAGUGCCAAAAGCUUCUUGAAUGGCCACUUGAUGCUGGCUCCAAAAGCAAGUCAAUCCCCAUAAUAUGAAAUAAAAAUAUUCCCUCAAAGAGCCAUACUUGUCAAAGGUGCAUUAUAAUUAUGAGACUUUCGCUGUGCUGGAAAACAAAAGUCAGUCGAGAUACAAGAGCCUGCAAAUUCAUUUACAUAAUGCAUGGAAAUCAAUGGAAACUGCACUGGAAAAUUAGGACAACACAUCCAAAAACUGCAUGAUAUACAUUUGAAAUUAUAAGAAAAAAAAAGUAUGGAGGAGGCCCUUGGGUAAGAGCUGGUUAAUGUGGCUCGGGAAAGGGAGGUUUAGGGUCCCCUGCUGGAGCUGCUGCCCCCGCGACCAACCCCGGAUAAGCGGUUGAAGAUGGAUGGAUGUAUACAGAAAUGUAUUUUUGAGGAAGCAGAUUUCAGCAAAGUUGUUGAGGAGCUGCUUGUGUUGGUGGUACACCAAGAGCCAAAAAUACUGCAGGUUCAACGGCUGACACUGCGAGAGGCCCCCUGCAGCCAUAUGGUUAAGUGAUCCGGCGUGCAGCUGAGCUUGUGGCAGGACUUUAAAGUGCACAGGUAGCUGUGGACAUGUUGGAACUUCAUGGCCCUGAUCCAGUCCUUGUAACCUAAAUCCAAAUUCCAGACCCUUGUGCUAGAUGAGUCAAACCUUCCUCUUUUUAUAAGAGCAGUUCACACAGGAGGAAGUCAUCUUCAUGGUGUCUCAAGUCUGUCCCGCUCCAGGACAGAAUUAAUUCUAAAGGUACUUCCUCUUUGUGUGGUUUCAUUUUUUGGUUCCUUAAGUGCUUUUGUAACCUAAUAAAUCUCCAGUCAUUUUGU